GAAAUGUAAAGGCAGAGGGAGGUCUGCACAAAAAGGAUAGAAGAAGAAGAGGGAGAAGGGUGCAGGAUCAGAGGAGGCAAAGGCACGGAGAGUGAAAGAUGGAGCAGCAGGACAAGUGUGGUCAGACGUCGACAACCAACGCAAACUGGACCCGGAAUCAAUGGAGGAAGGAUGAGGGAAUGAUGUCCAUCACACAUGGAAUCGAAGCCGAAUUCACUUCGGCAACUUUGAAUGGGCAGCUGUCGACCCUUUGAGUGUGCAUGGACCACAAUGUGAUGAGAAUACAGCAGGAGGACGAUUCCAAACAGACCAACACAUCAAAGAAUCAAUCGGGUCAGAUAGAAUCCCCCCGUUUCCACAAUCAAACUGGCUACUUGUUUCACUUGACUUGAUCCAAUAUAACUUAACAUCAAAUGUAGUUAGGUAUGAUCAGCCGGAAAGAUACAAAGUGCCUGAGGACAAACUGCUGAGCUGGUUGAAUAAUUAGAGUUUGGGAGAAUUUGCUUUGUAUGUAUUGAAAGGACGCUCGAUACUCAAUGAUUUAUUUAAAAUAUAGCGUGUCAUUAACUCCCUAUAAUUACCAUGUUAUGUUAUCUACUGAGUGUGUGUGUGUGUGUGUGUGUGUGUGUGUGUGUGUGUGUGUGAGUUGUUGUCAUAUUGUAGGUCAAAAUGAUGCAAUGAAUGAAUCAAAUGUAGAGUCAUAAAAUAAACUUAAAAAGCUGUUUUGGCGCCUUGGUCUGUUUCUUCCUCUACAGCUGAUUGGCUCACUUUCUUUCAGGACAAAGCUUUCUCUGCCACAUUAAAAAGGAAUUUUUACUUUUUAAACUCUUGCUAAGAACAAAAGUUGGUUGGGUUAAAGAUGUCAAUUGUUAGGAUAGAUCAUUUUAUUAAGUUCCUCGCAACCUCAAUUGCUUUGAUUCUGGAUUGUUAUCAUAAUGUAAAAGAAAAAACCUCCCCCUCAUUAUGAGAAUUACUCAGAAUUUGGUAAACAGAUUAUGAUUAACUGAUUAUUCUUCAUUGCAAUCAAACUUAAAUAAG
ensembl:lncRNA